GACAACUCCUGUCAUACUGAUUUGAUGAGAGCUACAAGUACAGAGAAAGAUAUGCAGGCAUUGUGGUUUGAUUUGUAGAGCAAAAAAAGGCUGAUUCUUGAAGAGUCUUGCUUUGAGACAGUGCAAAGAACGGAGAUGAGAGCGAGUGCUCAGCCAAGUGAAGUAGUGGAGCGAAAAAAAGUUCAAACAGUAGGAUGAGGCAGAAUUAUUGCAACGCGUUUGCAAAUAAAUUGAUCGAGUUUGCACACACUGCAGGAAGGAUCUUGGCCCACUCCUCCACACGGAUCUUCUCUAAAUUAGUCAGGUUUCUUGGCUGCCGCUGACAAACACGGAGUUUGAGCUUCCUCCAAAGAUUUUCUAU